rnacentral:rRNA from 1 species
UACGUAGGGUGCAAGCGUUAAUCGGAAUUACUGGGCGUAAAGCGUGCGCAGGCGGUUUUGUAAGCCCGAUGUGAAAGCCCCGGGCUUAACCUGGGAAUGGCAUUUGGGACUGCAAGGCUUGAGUGCGGCAGAGGAGACUGGAAUUCCUGGUGUAGCAGUGAAAUGCGUUGAUAUCGAUAGGAACACCGGUGGCGAAGGCGGCACACUGGACCACCACUGACGCUGAUGCGCGAAAGCGAGGGGAGCAAACGGG